rnacentral:lncRNA from 1 species
CUGGUAUAAAUGAUGUUUGGAUUUGCACCAGUGGAGAACCUACUUCUGUAGCCAUCUCACUGCUGAGGAGUGGAUCAGAGGGUCAGAAGCCAAAAGAGCUGCCUGGGAAUCUGUCACCUGUAACUACUGGCAGCCCCUUCCUCUCCCAUUUUUUCCCUCAGGACCACAAUUUGCAUAUAUGCUUCCCCCAGCUCUCUCAACUGCCCCUCCAGCAAUGGGAUUUUGCCUGAUGGGAUGUGCAUCACCUUUCCUUGCAGAUGAUGAUCUCGCUUCACCCCUACUACCCUCACUGUGAGAGAGGAGGCACCAAUGUUCAAGGAAUCGUAAAAUGAGGCAGGCAGGAGCUGGCGAUGAAGGCUCCAGCCUGGGAAAAAUAAACCUGCUAGCCUGGCUAAAGCCAAACAGCACAUGGCCCAAUUAAUAGCCUCCCCACUGUUCCUUUGGGAGGGCCGGCAUUCUCGCCGCCUUUGUCUCGUUUCCUGCUUGCUUCCUCCAUGCCGCUUCCUUUGACUCGGCCCUGCGCAGCCAGGCAGAACGAGAUCCAGCAGCUCCAGUUGCCUCUGGCUGCCUUGAGACUCCUAAGAGAACAGGAGGAUGCAGACAAAUAAGAGUGUUUCUCACCCAGUUUGUUCACUCAAGCAAGCCAAGACCUUCCUAUGCAGUGUGCUCAACCCUUGUGAGACGGGCUUUGGCCAUUAUCAGCAUCCUUGUGCACUGGAGAGGAAGCAUGGAUAUUGGAAGUCACCCAGUGACUGACCCAUCUAGGACUGCUCCACUGCACAGACUGGCUUCAGCGGAUCUAGAGGAGCACUGGGGUGAAGACGUUCGUCAUCAAGACUGCAAAUGCUCCAGAUUGAUUCCAAAUAUUGUUUGCAUCGAACAAAUCCUGCUCACAGAUCAGGACUCUCUUUUGUGCUAA